UACGGGGGGGGUAAGCGUUGUUCGGAAUUACUGGGCGUAAAGGGCUCGUAGGCGGCCAACUAAGUCAUACGUGAAAUCCCUCAGCUUAACUGGGGAACUGCGUGUGAUACUGGAUGGCUUGGAUUUGGGAGAGGGAUGCGGAAUUCCAGGUGUAGCGGUGAAAUGCGUAGAUAUCUGGAGGAACACCGGUGGCGAAGGCGGCAUCCUGGACCAAUAUUGACGCUGAGGAGCGAAAGCUGGGGGAGCAAACGGG
rnacentral:rRNA from 1 species